rnacentral:rRNA from 1 species
UGGGGAAUUUUGGACAAUGGGCGAAAGCCUGAUCCAGCAAUGCCGCGUGUGUGAAGAAGGCCUUCGGGUUGUAAAGCACUUUUGUCCGGAAAGAAAUCCUCUGGGUUAAUACCUCGGGGGAUGACGGUACCGGAAGAAUAAGCACCGGCUAACUACGUGCCAGCAGCCGCGGUAAUACGUAGGGUGCAAGCGUUAAUCGGAAUUACUGGGCGUAAAGCGUGCGCAGGCGGUUUUGUAAGACGGAUGUGAAAUCCCCGGGCUUAACCUGGGAACUGCAUUCGUGACUGCAAGGCUAGAGUAUGGCAGAGGGGGGUAGAAUUCCACGUGUAGCAGUGAAAUGCGUAGAGAUGUGGAGGAAUACCGAUGGCGAAGGCAGCCCCCUGGCCAAGUACUGACGCUCAUGCACGAAAGCGUGGGGAGCAAACAGGAUUAGAUACCCUGGUAGUCCACGCCCUAAAACGAUGUCAACUAGUUGUUGGGGGAUUCAUUUCCUUAGUAACGUAGCUAACGCGUGAAGUUGACCGCCUGGGGGAGUACGGUCGCAAGAUUAAAAACUCAAAGGAAUUGACGGGGUCAUAGCUG